rnacentral:rRNA from 1 species
GACGAAGGAUGCAAGCGUUAUCCGGAUUCAUUGGGUUUAAAGGGUGCGUAGGCGGACCGAUAAGUCAGUGGUGAAAUCUCUCAGCUUAACUGAGAAACUGCCAUUGAUACUGUCAGUCUAGAGUAUAGAUGAUGUGGGCGGAAUAUGACAUGUAGUGGUGAAAUACUUAGAUAUGUCAUAGAACACCGAUUGCGAAGGCAGCUCACAAAACUAUAACUGACGCUGAGGCACGAAAGUGCGGGGAUCAAACAGG